GAUGAACGCUGGCGGCGUGCCUAAUACAUGCAAGUCGAGCGAACAGACGAGGAGCUUGCUCCUCUGACGUUAGCGGCGGACGGGUGAGUAACACGUGGAUAACCUACCUAUAAGACUGGGAUAACUUCGGGAAACCGGAGCUAAUACCGGAUAAUAUAUUGAACCGCAUGGUUCAAUAGUGAAAGACGGUUUUGCUGUCACUUAUAGAUGGAUCCGCGCCGCAUUAGCUAGUUGGUAAGGUAACGGCUUACCAAGGCAACGAUGCGUAGCCGACCUGAGAGGGUGAUCGACCACACUGGAACUGAGACACGGUCCAGACUCCUACGGGAGGCAGCAGUAGGGAAUCUUCCGCAAUGGGUGAAAGCCUGACGGAGCAACGCCGCGUGAGUGAUGAAGGUCUUCGGAUCGUAAAACUCUGUUAUUAGGGAAGAACAAAUGUGUAAGUAACUAUGCACGUCUUGACGGUACCUAAUCAGAAAGCCACGGCUAACUACGUG
rnacentral:rRNA from 1 species